GACGAACGCUGGCGGCGUGCUUAUCACAUGCCAGUCGAACGGAAAGGCCCUGCUUUUGUGGGGUGCUCGAGUGGCGAACGGGUGAGUAACACGUGAGUAACCUGCCCUUGACUUUGGGAUAACUUCAGGAAACUGGGGCUAAUACCGGAUAGGAGCUCCUGCUGCAUGGUGGGGGUUGGAAAGUUUCGGCGGGUGGGGAUGGACUCGCGGCUUAUCAGCUUGUUGGUGGGGUAGUGGCUUACCAAGGCUUUGACGGGUAGCCGGCCUGAGAGGGUGACCGGCCACAUUGGGACUGGGAUACGGCCCAGACUCCUACGGGAGGCAGCAGUGGGGAAUAUUGCACAAUGGGCGGAAGCCUGAUGCAGCAACGCCGCGUGCGGGAUGACGGCCUUCGGGUUGUAAACCGCUUUCGCCUGUGACGAAGCGUGAGUGACGGUAAUGGGUAAAGAAGCACCGGCUAACUACGUG
rnacentral:rRNA from 1 species